GACAGAGGUGCCGAGCGUUAGGCGGAAUCACUGGGCUUAAAGCGUGUGUAGGCGGACCCGUAAGUACCUUGUGAAAUCCCACGGCUCAACCGGUGGAACGGCUGGGUAUACUGCGGGUCUGAGCAACCUAGGGGCAGACGGAACAAGUGGUGGAGCGGUGAAAUGCGUAGAUAUCACUUGGAACGCCGACGGUGAAAACAGUCUGCUGGGGGUUUGCUGACGCUGAGACGACGAAAGCCAGGG
rnacentral:rRNA from 1 species